AACUUGUCUAUCCAUCAAUCCGAUUCACUGAUUGAUCGAAGGAACAAAGUAACUCGAAGAAGCUGACCAUCAGCUUAAUACGAAACACUAAUAAACCAUUGAUAAUAUGAAGAAACCAGUUGACAGCAAUUGAUACACUUUACAAGUUC
ensembl:ncRNA Y40C5A.23 ncRNA